GCACGCCUAACACAUGCAAGUCGAACGAAGUAGCAAUACUUAGUGGCAGACGGGUGAGUAACAUGUGGGUAUCUACCCUUUGGCCUGGAAUAACACGAGGAAACUUGUGCUAAUACUGGAUAAGUCUUUACGGAGAAAGCUUUAUGCACCAUUGGAUGAGCCUGCACUUGAUUAGUUUGUUGGUAGGGUAAUGGCCUACCAAGGCUUUGAUCAAUAGCUGAUUUGAGAGGAUGAUCAGCCACAUUGGGACUGAGACACGGCCCAAACUCCUACGGGAGGCAGCAGUGGGGAAUCUUGCACAAUGGAGGAAACUCUGAUGCAGCGAUGCCGCGUGAGUGAAGAAGGCCUUUGGGUUGUAAAGCUCUUUCGUCGGGGAAGAAAAUGACUGUACCCGAAUAAGAAGGUCCGGCUAACUUCGUGCCAGCAGCCGCGGUAAUACGAAGGGACCUAGCGUAGUUCGGAAUUACUGGGCUUAAAGAGUUCGUAGGUGGUUGAAAAAGUUGGUGGUGAAAUCCCAGAGCUUAACUCUGGAACUGCCAUCAAAACUUUUCAGCUAGAGUUUGAUAGAGGAAAGCAGAAUUUCUAGUGUAGAGGUGAAAUUCGUAGAUAUUAGAAAGAAUACCAAUUGCGAAGGCAGCUUUCUGGAUCAUUACUGACACUGAGGAACGAAAGCAUGGGUAGCGAAGAGGAUUAGAUACCCUCGUAGUCCAUGCCGUAAACGAUGUGUGUUAGACGUUGGAAAUUUAUUUUCAGUGUCGCAGCGAAAGCGAUAAACACACCGCCUGGGGAGUACGA
rnacentral:rRNA from 1 species